UAGGGAAUCUUCCGCAAUGGACGAAAGUCUGACGGAGCAACGCCGCGUGAGUGAUGAAGGUUUUCGGAUCGUAAAACUCUGUUGUUAGGGAAGAACAAGUACAAGAGUAACUGCUUGUACCUUGACGGUACCUAACCAGAAAGCCACGGCUAACUACGUGCCAGCAGCCGCGGUAAUACGUAGGUGGCAAGCGUUGUCCGGAAUUAUUGGGCGUAAAGCGCGCGCAGGCGGUCCUUUAAGUCUGAUGUGAAAGUCCACGGCUCAACCGUGGAGGGUCAUUGGAAACUGGGGGACUUGAGUGCAGAAGAGAAGAGUGGAAUUCCACGUGUAGCGGUGAAAUGCGUAGAGAUGUGGAGGAACACCAGUGGCGAAGGCGACUCUUUGGUCUGUAACUGACGCUGAGGCGCGAAAGCGUGGGGAGCAAACAGGAUUAGAUACCCUGGUAGUCCACGCCGUAAACGAUGAGUGCUAAGUGUUAGAGGGUUUCCGCCCUUUAGUGCUGCAGCAAACGCAUUAAGCAUUCCGCCUGGGGAGUACGGCCGCGAGGCUG
rnacentral:rRNA from 1 species